rnacentral:rRNA from 1 species
UACGGGGGGGGCAAGCGUUGUUCGGAAUUACUGGGCGUAAAGGGCGCGUAGGCGGCUCGCUAAGUCGGAUGUGAAAACUCUGGGCUCAACCCAGAGCCUGCAUUCGAAACUGACGAGCUCGAGUACUGGAGGGGAAAGCGGAAUUCCUGGUGCAGCGGUGAAAUGCGUAGAUAUCAGGAGGAACACCGGUGGCGAAGGCGGCUUUCUGGACAGUAACUGACGCUGAUGCGCGAAAGCUAGGGGAGCAAACAGG